CAGCACCACACCAAAAGGAGGCAGCAAAUCAGAGCUAAUCAUAUCUAUCUGCGUUUCAUUUCCACAUGGUAAGAGAGCAACACAAAACAGGUUUAUAAUAUUUGAAUGUUUUAUUUUCUUUAAAUCAAGCAGGUUACAUCAUUAGUUUUUACACAAUCUGAUAUUUGGAGCCAUUUGCAAAUAUGCUCAUAAAUUACAUGAUUUGUAAUCCUUAUCGAAAAAAAAAUCAUAAAAGAAUGAGGUGGUUAAUGAUCAAUAUUGGGAUCAACAGUGAUCACCCUACAAAUGUAGGCAUUACGUGCAGGCAGAAAAAUAAAAGUUCCCAUUAAGGUCUGUGGUGUGAAACACCACAGGUCUGAACUACUCAGGAACACAUGAAAAUGGCACAAAAAUGAAUUUCACUCUCCAACCUUUUGCUAAAGAGACGUUGACAGGCCCACAGAGAGCCUGGAGCUCACGGGACAACAUUCACACACAUUCUGCUUCAUGAAGAGGUCAGAUUAUCGUCAGACCAUAGACAUUACAUGUAAGGACACUGAACAUUUGGCGAACAAAUGCGGCAAACAAAUGUUCAAAUAUCCUCCAAAGCACUUCAAGCCCUCAAAGAAUGAGACUCAAAACACAGAUGAGGUAACAGAAGAAACUUCUAAAUCAAAGUGGAGCGACCCAGGGACAAGUCUGGUUUGGGUUAAAGAUUAUGGAUGGUUAACUUUGUGUAACGUGUUUGGACAACCAAGUUCAGGUAUUAGCCAAGCGAGUUUAGCCAAGCGAGUUUAGGUUUUAUGCAAGCGAGUUUAGGUUUAUGCAAGCGAGUUUAGGUUUUAGGCAAGCGGGUUUAUGCAAGCGAGUUCAGGUAUUAGGCAAGCGAGUUUAGGCAAGCGAGUUUAGGCAAGCGAGUUUA
ensembl:lncRNA